UCCGGUUUGACACCGGCAGUCUCCCUAGAGUGCCCGGCUUUACCCGCUGGUAACUAGGGACAAGGGUUGCGCUCGUUGCGGGACUUAACCCAACAUCUCACGACACGAGCUGACGACAGCCAUGCAGCACCUGUGUGUAGGUCUCGUAAGGGAAGGAAUCCAUCUCUGGAAACCGUCCUACCAUGUCAAACGCUGGUAAGGUUCUGCGCGUUGCAUCGAAUUAAACAACACGCUCCACCGCUUGUGCGGCUCCCCGUCAAUUCCUUUGAGUUUUAAUCUUGCGACCGUACUCCCCAGGCGGAUGACUUCGCGCGUUAGCUGCGUUACUAAGGGAUUUAACUCCCCCAACAACUAGUCAUCAUCGUUUAGGGCGUGGACUAC
rnacentral:misc_RNA from 1 species